CGUGAUCCGGGUUGCGGACAGUGUCUGGUGGGUAGUUUGACUGGGGCGGUCUCCUCCUAAAGAGUAACGGAGGAGCACGAAGGUUGGCUAAUCCUGGUCGGACAUCAGGAGGUUAGUGCAAUGGCAUAAGCCAGCUUGACUGCGAGCGUGACGGCGCGAGCAGGUGCGAAAGCAGGUCAUAGUGAUCCGGUGGUUCUGAAUGGAAGGGCCAUCGCUCAACGGAUAAAAGGUACUCCGGGGAUAACAGGCUGAUACCGCCCAAGAGUUCAUAUCGACGGCGGUGUUUGGCACCUCGAUGUCGGCUCAUCACAUCCUGGGGCUGAAGUAGGUCCCAAGGGUAUGGCUGUUCGCCAUUUAAAGUGGUACGCGAGCUGGGUUUAGAACGUCGUGAGACAGUUCGGUCCCUAUCUGCCGUGGGCGCUGGAGAACUGAGGGGGGCUGCUCCUAGUACGAGAGGACCGGAGUGGACGCAUCACUGGUGUUCGGGUUGUCAUGCCAAUGGCACUGCCCGGUAGCUAAAUGCGGAAGAGAUAAGUGCUGAAAGCAUCUAAGCACGAAACUUGCCCCGAGAUGAGUUCUCCCUGAGACUUUAGGUCUCCUGAAGGAACGUUGAAGACGACGACGUUGAUAGGCCGGGUGUGUAAGCGCAGCGAUGCGUUGAGCUAACCGGUACUAAUGAACCGUGAGGCUUAACCUUACAACGCCGAAG
rnacentral:rRNA from 2 species